rnacentral:lncRNA from 1 species
ACUGCGAAUAAUUAGAAAUUCUUUUGUUGCAUUGUCGACCAAGUGUUACAUCUCAAAUUUAUUCUUAGAAAAUACUUCUAAAAAGUUAAAUAAUAGUAAUAUACAAAAUAAAAGGUUGCGACUCUUCUUAAGUCAAGGAGCUAACGAUGUUGAAAAUGAUGUAUGAAGGGACAAGGAUGUGAGUGGAAUAGGUUGGGAAUUAGAGUACCAUCUAAGGUGCACAAGGUGCUCUCACCGACCAACAAAUUAAGUUCCAUCUUCUUCCAAUCUUGUUUUACGUUCAUUUGAAAUUGACCUAGCAAUGAAAAGGAGAAAAAAUUAGUUUGUAAACAUGCGAAAAAGUUUAUGAUUUUCCCAUCAAAUGUGUUUUCAUUGUUUUUCAACUUUACAAAACUUCAAUAUGACGACAAGUUUUUCUUUUUUCAUCUUUUAAUCUAAUGACAAUCAAAUUUUCUCUCCACCUAUGUGAGCAAGUCCGAACUUCAAAUUUCUUAUUUUUUACCUAAGAGAUAUUACCAAUUGAAUUAAUUAAUACCCAUAAAAUUUUUAUAUAUAUUGCUCACAAUUUUUUUUGUUUAUAGUAACAAUUUUUCAACAAAUUAUCGCUUAUACACAUCCUAAUUUAAGGAGAAGAAAAUUAGAAUGUAGACAUGCGAAAAAGUUGUCAUCAAUAACAAAAAAAAAAGUUACUUGUAUGUUGUAACUCAUGGCCUUGUUAAAAUAUCUCACGUUUGCACAUUGUGCCAAUUACUUUGAAGAACCUUCGUCUUUUGUGCGAACCUUCGUCUUUAGAAUACCACCAAAAGCCAUUGAACCUCUUCUGAAGAAUCUUUAGACCCGUCUAGGGACAAACUUAUUUGUAAACAAGUUCACGAUAAUCCGACAGAUAGUCUCUAUUUCUAAAACCAAGUUAACCCUAAAGAGUAAUUCAUAAUCACUCCAUAAAUGCC